rnacentral:rRNA from 1 species
CAGAGGGUGCAAGCGUUAAUCGGAGUGACUGGGCGUAAAGGGCGUGUAGGUGGAUGGAUAAGUUAUGUGUGAAAUAUCUGGGCUUAACCUGGAGGGGUCAUGUAAUACUGUCUGUCUGGAGUAGAGCAGAGGGAAGUAGAAUUUCCGGUGUAGCGGUGAAAUGCGUAGAGAUCGGAAGGAAUACCAGUGGCGAAGGCGGCUUCCUGGGCUCAUACUGACACUGAGGCGCGAAAGCGUGGGUAGCGAACAGGAUUAGAUACCCUGGUAGUCCACGCCGUAAACGAUGAGAACUAGACGCUUGUUUGUUUAAUCAAGUGAGUGUCGAAGCAAACGCAUUAAGUUCUCCGCCUGGGGAAUACGGUCGCAAGAUUA